AUUCUUCACCAUCAGCUUUGCUGGCAAGGACCGUUGGGAUUACAGCCCACCAAUGUCCAGAGGGAGUGGUGGCUUGUCCAUAGAGGAAAGGGAGGCACCGAUCCACCCCAGACUCAUGCUAUACCAGCCACCUUAAUCCCACCGAUACAGAAUCAAAUGGUCUCUGUAUUUGUGUGUCGGAAUAUUUGUUUGUUUACCUCCCUGUCUGUCUCUAAUACCCCACCUUUGCCUCUGAUUCUACACAACAUUGUUUGCUGUGUCUCCUCCAGCACUAGACACCAUGGCCACCAGCUGCCACUAUCUGCCAUUGCCUUGUCCACCUCUUCUCUUAACUGGCCACGUGGAAGUGAAUGGGGAUCCAGAUGAGGCUGUGUUCCAGAUCAGGUGGAGAAAUCACCAUUUGGCACCUUUGUGUAUGCAUAAUUUCGGCCUUGUUACUUCCUAUUGGACAGUGACUGCUGUGACAUCCCAAAGGAUCCUGACAGUGCCCAUAGCCAGCCCCUUCUGCAAGAAGAGUACAAAAUAUGGCUUGCAAGAACACACUGUUCCAAAUCCGGCCUUCAGUCAGCUAAUACAGCAAUUACAGCUAAGCUCAGUGGAGAACCUGAAGAAGGCUGUGGACACAGGCCCUGCUACUCAGAAAAUCCCAGGCCUUUGACCCUGCCAGUCCCAGCUCCACUACACCACUGGUUAUCGUCCAAGCUUUGCUGCUCCCUUGACAACCUGCUUCAACAAUUAAGGAACUGUUUAUAGAGACUUUUUCUCCUUACAAAGCUUCCUAGAUUGCUGUGCAGAUGUGUAGAAAAAAAAAUCUUUUAAAACUUAAAACAUACUGGGAGGGGAGGUGUAAGUUACAUCUCCAGUUUUAUUCCUAAAACAGGCAGGUACCGUUCCAUCUAAAAGGAAACUGCAUUGUCUUCCCCUCUAACAAGAGCCACUGCAACUGAAGGUGACAGUGCUCACUUGAAAUCAAUGUCAAUGUGCAUUUUCCCCUCCAAAGAAUAAAAAUGGAUCUUCUGCAAGAUGGAUGUGCCUG
rnacentral:lncRNA from 1 species